GAAGAUUUAAUUUUUGACGAUAAGGAAAUCUCGUAAUCUCUUCUUGAACCUUCUAAAGAGAUUUAGCAGCUGAAGUAUCUCUGCCCCGAGGUACCCAUCGCCUAGGAGAAUUUAAUGACUGGAACAAACCAUGGAAUAGAGCUCUUAUCAUCAUUGUGCUUCGGCGAAGGUUCAAUGUCUAUGAACUUAAAAUUUACCUCAGUCCUAUUUGAGGAUUCCAAAGCUUUGAGAUCAUCGACCUACCGAACAACUAUUUCGUGGUUAGAUUUAAGGAUAUAGAGCAAGAACUUGUUCACUAGAGGAAGGUCCUAUAUGAAGGCCACUAGGUGGUUAAGCAACACUGAGUCUUGGUCCAAUGCUGGAGCCCUUACUUUGAUCCCUUCAGCAAUACUCUUGGUCACAUUGCCACCUGGGUUAGAAUCCCUAACAUUCCCAUGCACUGCUGCAACAUAUACUUCAUCUCUAGGUUGGGUGAGUGGAUUGGAAAACCCCUUAAGAUGGACUUGAAAACCCUUGCUGACUUCACUUUUAAGGAUGCUUAAAUUGAGAGAGGGAACUUCCCCAGGUUGUGCGUUGAACUUAAUCUUUAAAAGAAACUAGUACCGAGAGUCAUUGCUGCCAACUCUAUCUUCAAUGUCUCCUAUGAAAGCCUGAAUCUAAUAUGCUUCACAUGUGGACGUUAUGGGCACAUAAGAGAAAAUUGCCCUUGGAUAUACAAAACUAACGAGCACCAAGCAAAUCCUUUCUCAAGCUUGCCAAAGAAAACUUUGAUGAAGAAAACCUUAGACACCGAAUAGAUUUGUGGCACAUGGAUGCUUCAAAACAACUAUGGCAAGACCUCAUGAUUUUAAAUAUGAUUAGACUAUAAUCCUUUUGCACAGCUUUGCAGUGGCCUCGUAUUCAAAAAAAAAAAACAACUAUGGCAAGCCUCAAUACAUGAGAAGGGAAAGAUUGACAGGAAAAAAAAAACCAGGCACACGAGAAACAAGGGGUGGCUCACUCUAUCAUCUUGAUAUCAAACUGUAGACAAUUUAGAGAAAGAGGUUGAACUGCCAAAAAAUCAGCAAGAGGGCAAAAAGUUGUCUGACAACAUUGAGAUGGAGCACGAGAACGAUCUCAUCGUAAUAAAAGAUAAGGGAAAAGUCCCCUAAAAAGCUCAGCCCUCGAAUAGUGGGGUGAGGAAAAAGCACCAAGAAUAGUUAAAGCAAAUUUAUAGACCCAUAGGUAAAGAGAAUAUUAAACCAGCUGGACCAUCUAAACCUAGCCAAUCUCACAAUAUUGGGGCGAACAAGAAAGAAAUGGGUGCUAAGCCUAAUAAUUCAGCACAAGAAGGAAAAGGCCAACAUAAGAAAAUGGCCUAGAGAACUCACCAAAUUGUGAGUGGGAAGCUCAACCGUAUGGAGCAAUCCAAGAUUAGCCCAAAUACUGUGGAUCCAAAAAACAUUAACAGCUCCUCAUCAACUUUGAUGAAUUUAGAUCACAACUCUCCUUACUCUCCCGAAAUAGCGACAGAAGGCUCAUUUGUCUUACACCUCUUUAAACCCCCAGAUAUCACGCCUUCCUCAGAGAUGCAAAUCGAACCAGUCUCCAACAAAAGUCAACAGGUUACAGCAAGUAUGCCCAAGGUUGUAUCGGAUGAUUUCAUUGAUGACCCGCUUGAUUAAGAUGGUUUUCUUUUACCUUCCUUAUGAGUGUUUUUCUAAUGACAAUUGCAUCAAGGAAUUGCCGUGGUGCUGGCAGCAAGGCUUUCCCCAGUACUAUUAAAGAAGUUGUUUCCUCUCAUCAUAUCAAUGUUCUCUGUCUCCUUGAACACAGGAUUAGUGUUGAUCGUGCUAAUCGAGCAAUUAGAAGUUUAGUUUUAAUAGUUGGCUUAGAGUUGAGGCCAUUGGCUUUGCUGAAAGAAUUUGGAUCUUUUAGAAUGAUGAUAUUACCAAGGUUAAUUACAUAUGUUCCACAACCCAACUUCUUCACUGCAAAUUUUGUGACCUGAAUACUGGUGAUUGUUUUCUCUCUUCUUUCAUUUCUGCUAAAAUAUGUGCUGUGAAAAGGAAAAUGCUUUGGGAAUAUAUUAAAGUUAUUGCUAAUCUCACAGAUGAAGCUUGACUUUUAAUAGGUGACUUCAAUACCUUCCUGGGAUCCUUCUAACAAAAUUGGAGGCUGCUUACCUUUAAAUUAGGCCAUAAUUGAUUUCUUUGAUUGCAUAUCUGGCAACAUUGUCAUGGAAGUCCCUCUGGUUUGUGACAAAUUCACCUGGGAAAAACAAGGUGUUAAAGAGCGACUUGACUAGUCUUUUUGCAUUUCUCUCAAGGAAGAGUCACACCUUAACUCCAAGAUUUACCAUUAUCUAAGGAUGAAUUCACAAAAAAAUCUGGGCUCUAACACAAACAAUGCUCAUUCCUGGAUACGCGCUUUUUGUACCAUCUGCUGGCUGCUUUGGAAAAACAGAUGAAUGGGCAUUAUGGAAGGACAAAGAGUCGAAGCAACGGAGACCCUCUACAACGCCCAAUAUCAUCUUGCAGAGCGGUUGGAAUUGUAGAUUCAAGCACAAGAUCUUCCAAAAUGUUGACAUGGUUGAAGAAAUCUAGAAACCUCCUGACAGUGUUCUGCUGAGGCUGGACGUGGAUGGCCUAGUCAAUCAACAUGGUUUUGCGACAUGUGGAGGAGUUAUUAGGGGCUCAAACAAUAAUUGGAUAUUGGGAUUUCCAAAAAAAAAAAAUGCUUGGGUUUUGCCCUCCCACUGCUGCUGAAUUCUUUGCCAUUGACUUAGGUCUAAAGCUGUGCAAACAACUUCGGAUGGAUAAAAUACAUUGCCACACUGACUCAUUGGAAGCCUGGAUCAUCCCCUACACUAUGAGAUCCGUUGCGCCCAAGAUCUAGUCUACUCCAACUGAGAAUUGAGGAUUAUACACUCCCCGAGAAACAGUCUCCAAGUGGCUGACUACUUAGCCAAGAACUCUCAUCAUCUUACUGCUGAUUUUAAUAUUUUGUAUGAACCCUCUGUUGGGUGCUCGUCCAUGUAUUGGGCUGACAAACAUCUCAUUACUUUCUAAUCUGUAUUUUCUCAGGCCUUGAGCCUGUCUUUAAAAAAAAAAAAAAACCAAAAGAAUAUGUGGGAUGAAUAA